AUGCGAGACUCGAGAGGGUGAGAGGCGAUAUCGCAGGGUGAGAUUCCUAUUACUGCAAAAGGAUACAUUGAGCAAGUCUCAGUUUAGGAAGAGCAUGGCAUACAAUGGAGAUGGGAUCGAGAAACCUAGCUCAACUUCUAUAUUUGUCCAUCCAUGAUCAGCAGGUGAUUGCCUCAAGACAUGGGGAUGAAGAGAUCUAGAAGCUCUUAGAGUCAGGAGG
rnacentral:lncRNA from 1 species